AUGCUCUAUGGAAAUCUGCUGACUCACUCCAGCAGGAUCAUGGCUCAGUCUGAGGACGGUUCCCAUCUACUCACAGAGCCGUGUCUCUCAGAGGUUUUUGUACGACGACUCAACCAGUUUGUAUCACUGUGGUUGACGUUUGGUGGAGGAACCAGACUGGAGGUUGGAAGUGAUACCCGUCCCAUCCUGACGGUGCUGCCUCCCUCCAGUGAGGAGCUGCAGCAGGGGAAGGCCACGCUCAUGUGUCUGGCCAACAAGGGCUUCCCCUCAGACUGGAGUCUGUCCUGGAAGGUGGACGGCAGCAGCAGCAGCUGGGAGGAGGACAGGAGCCCCGUGGUGAUGAAGGACGGCCUCUACAGCUGGAGCAGCACCCUGAGGCUCACUGCAGACCAGUGGAGGAAGGUGGGCUCUGUGACCUGUGAGGCCACCCAGGGCUCCCAGUCUCCAGUCUCAGAGUCACUCAUGAGAGACCAGUGUUCCCAGUGAAAAAAAAGUCUCCCUGGGAGUUUUUCUUCUGUCAUUGUAUUACCUUCCCAGAAACUCUUUUUUUAUUUACCAGAAUUCAAAUGUUUUAAAUUCAGUUUUUACACAAUAAAGACAAUUUAUGAAGACA